rnacentral:rRNA from 1 species
GGAGUCUGGGCCGUAUCUCAGUCCCAAUGUGGCCGUUCAACCUCUCAGUCCGGCUACUGAUCGCAGCCUUGGUGAGCCGUUACCUCACCAACAAGCUAAUCAGAUGUGAGCCCAUCUUUCAGCGAAUUGCUCCUUUGAUAUCCAAGAGAUGCCUCCCGGAUAUGUUAUGCGGUAUUAGCAGUCGUUUCCAACUGUUGUCCCCCACUGAAAGGCAGGUUGCUCACACAUUACUCACCCGUCCGCCACUAAGUCAUCCUUUCCCUUCGACGAAUCUCCGUUCCGGGAUGCUUAGUUCGACUUGCAUGUGUUAGGCACGCCGCCAGCGUUCAUC